UACGUAGGGGGCAAGCGUUGUCCGGAUUUACUGGGCGUAAAGAGCGUGUAGGCGGCCACGCAGGUCCGUUGUGAAAACUGGAGGCUCAACCUCCAGCUGUCGACGGAAACCGUGUGGCUAGAGUCCGGAAGAGGAGAGUGGAAUUCCUGGUGUAGCGGUGGAAUGCGCAGAUAUCAGGAAGAACACCAACGGCGAAGGCAGCUCGCUGGGACGGUACUGACGCUGAGACGCGAAAGCGUGGGGAGCGAACAGG
rnacentral:rRNA from 1 species